rnacentral:pre_miRNA from 10 species
GCAGCUCGCCCAAAGCCGCCCCAUGGCUCCAGAAAUCAAGGGUGGGUAAGACCUCGUCAGCAAAGUUUAAGGCGACCCAUACUUGGUUUCAGGGGCUGUGUGGCUCUCGUCACCGCUGCGUA